rnacentral:rRNA from 1 species
AACGAACGCUAUCGGUAUGCUUAACACAUGCAAGUCGGACGGACUAAUUAGGGCUUGCUCCAAUUAGUUAGUGGCAGACGGGUGAGUAACACGUGGGAAUCUGCCCAUCAGUACGGAAUAACUUUUAGAAAUAAAAGCUAAUACCGUAUAUUCUCUACAGAGGAAAGAUUUAUCGCUGAUGGAUGAGCCCGCGUCAGAUUAGGUAGUUGGUGAGGUAACGGCUCACCAAGCCGACGAUCUGUAGCUGGUCUGAGAGGAUGAUCAGCCACACUGGGACUGAGACACGGCCCAGACUCCUACGGGAAGCAGCAGUGGGGAAUAUUGGACAAUGGGCGAAAGCCUGAUCCAGCAAUACCGAGUGAGUGAUAAAGGCCAUAGGGUUGUAAAGCUCUUUUAGCAAGGAAGAUAAUGACGUUACCUGCAGAAAAAGCCCCGGCUAACUCCGUG